GACGAACGCUGGCGGCGUGCCUAAUACAUGCAAGUAGAACGCUGAAGAGAGGAGCUUACUCUUCUUGGAUGAGUUGCGAACGGGUGAGUAACGCGUAGGUAACCUGCCUUGUAGCGGGGGAUAACUAUUGGAAACGAUAGCUAAUACCGCAUAACAAUGGAUGACACAUGUCAUUUAUUUGAAAGGGGCAAUUGCUCCACUACAAGAUGGACCUGCGUUGUAUUAGCUAGUAGGUGAGGUAAUGGCUCACCUAGGCGACGAUACAUAGCCGACCUGAGAGGGUGAUCGGCCACACUGGGACUGAGACACGGCCCAGACUCCUACGGGAGGCAGCAGUAGGGAAUCUUCGGCAAUGGGGGCAACCCUGACCGAGCAACGCCGCGUGAGUGAAGAAGGUUUUCGGAUCGUAAAGCUCUGUUGUAAGUCAAGAACGGGUGUGAGAGUGGAAAGUUCACACUGUGACGGUAGCUGACCAGAAAGGGACGGCUAACUACGUG
rnacentral:rRNA from 1 species